rnacentral:rRNA from 1 species
UUUGACCUCAAAUCAGGUAGGACUACCCGCUGAACUUAAGCAUAUCAAUAAGCGGAGGAAAAGAAACCAACAGGGAUUGCCUUAGUAGCGGCGAGUGAAGCGGCAAAAGCUCAAAUUUGAAAUCUGGCGGUUUCACCGUCCGAGUUGUAAUUUGAAGAAGGUAUCUUUGGGUCUGGCGCUUGUCUAUGUUCCUUGGAACAGGACGUCACAGAGGGUGAGAAUCCCGUGCGAUGAGCAGUCCAGAUCCGUGUAAAGUUCCUUCGAAGAGUCGAGUUGUUUGGGAAUGCAGCUCUAAGUGGGUGGUAAAUUCCAUCUAAAGCUAAAUAUUGGCGAGAGACCGAUAGCGAACAAGUACAGUGAUGGAAAGAUGAAAAGAACUUUGAAAAGAGAGUGAAAAAGUACGUGAAAUUGUUGAAAGGGAAGGGCUUGCGAUCAGACUUGGUAUUUUGUAUGUCUUGCUUUCGGGUGGGGCCUCUGCAGUUUACUGGGCCAGCAUCGGUUCGGGUGGCAGGACAAUUGCGGAGAAAUGUGGCACGGCUUCGGCUGUGUGUUAUAGUCUCUGUCGAUACUGCCUGCCUGGACCGAGGACUGCGUCUUACGACUAGGAUGCUGGCAUAAUGAUCGUAAGCCGCCCGUCUUG